rnacentral:misc_RNA from 1 species
UCGUAACAAGGUUUCCGUAGGUGAACCUGCGGAAGGAUCAUUACUGAGUGCGGGCUGCCUCCGGGCGCCCAACCUCCCACCCGUGACUACCUAACACUGUUGCUUCGGCGGGGAGCCCUCUCGGGGGCGAGCCGCCGGGGACUACUGAACUUCAUGCCUGAGAGUGAUGCAGUCUGAGUCUGAAUAUAAAAUCAGUCAAAACUUUCAACAAUGGAUCUCUUGGUUCCGGCAUCGAUGAAGAACGCAGCGAACUGCGAUAAGUAAUGUGAAUUGCAGAAUUCAGUGAAUCAUCGAGUCUUUGAACGCACAUUGCGCCCCCUGGCAUUCCGGGGGGCAUGCCUGUCCGAGCGUCAUUGCUGCCCAUCAAGCCCGGCUUGUGUGUUGGGUCGUCGUCCCCCCCGGGGGACGGGCCCGAAAGGCAGCGGCGGCACCGUGUCCGGUCCUCGAGCGUAUGGGGCUUUGUCACCCGCUCGAUUUAGGGCCGGCCGGGCGCCAGCCGACGUCCAACCAUUUUUCUUCAGGUUGACCUCGGAUCAGGUAGGGAUACCCGCUGAACUUAAGCAUAUCAAUAAGCGGAGGAAAAGAAACCAACCGGGAUUGCCCCAGUAACGGCGAGUGAAGCGGCAAGAGCUCAAAUUUGAAAUCUGGCCCCUCCGGGGUCCGAGUUGUAAUUUGCAGAGGAUGCUUCG